CAAGUGAUCUGCCCGCCUCGGCCUCCCAAAGUGUUGGGAUUAUAGGCAUGAGCUACCACACCUGGCUGCCCAUUUUCACAUAGAUGGAAGCAGAGCUCCCUCCCCGUGCUAAGCUGCAGCAUGCGCUCAAUGCCACUGCCACUCCCAGUCACGGGACACCAAGGAAUGUCCUUCUGGGCUCAGGGGGCCAACUGCUGAAGGGAGAAAGCACGAGGGGCAAAGUUCCCUGGCAGCGGGAGGGCUGUCCCCCACUCAGGGCACCAUGGCCCCAGCCCUGCUGGGGCAACCCAGAGAACCCUGAGGCAGGAGACAGGGAGAGUGGUGAGGCCUUCCCCUGCACAAGCAUCCAGAACUCCUGAGAGCUCUUCAGAGUAGGAAGGGAGGUGCCAGGUGACCUCGCCUGACCACAAAUGUGAGGAACCCGAGGCCUACAGAGGAAGAGUCCAGCCAGUCCACAAACACCCACUGGGCACCAGCCAGGUGCUGGGGACACUGGGAUGAAUGUGACCAGCUCUGAAGAGGCUCCUCAUCAGGACCUGGGACUAAGAAGGUACAGCUCCGCUGAAUUGAGUAAAUGUGUCACCCACCCAAAGCAACGACCCAGAGCAAUUAACAGAUCACUUCUUCCUUUUAAGGCAUGUAUUUAAGGCUUGUCUUUCUUUGAAAACCCUCGGAGGAAAGAGAUGCAGCACUGUGGGGGAAAAAUGAAAUGGAAGAGACUUAGAUUGUCUUGGCAUUUCCAAGUGCUGGCUCUGUUCCUGGCACACAGUAGAUGUCUGAGAUAUGUUCUUUUGGUGGAUGAAAGAAUAAAAAUAUCUCCACGGCCACUUGCCCCUGCUGCCUGAAGUUCCACCAUUAUCACUGAAUCUUUUCUGGGGCUAAAGAGUAUUCCCUGUGAUGCUCUCUCAAAAUGCAGUCCUGGGCCAGGAAACUAGCUCUGGCUGGGGGUUUCCUUGCACAAAACAGCAAGGUCAGGGUUUGCCCAUGAGAUCUUCUCACUGCAUUCUCAAGACGGUGUGUCCAGACCCUGCUCUUUGACCAAGGAGUUGCAUGUUCAAAUAAGCUUAGGAAAGGCUGGCUGCACACUCUGCCACCCAUUGGGGUCCCUAAUUCGUAUUAAUACAUUAAAGACCCUGAGAAGGCCUGUUUGGAUUUAUGUGACCUAGCGUUUCCCAAAUCUGUAUGCUCAUGCAUCCUUGAAUCCAUUCCCAUGCCACGGGACUAGGGCUCCUCAGGGGACAGUUUGGGGAGUGUGGACUAGAUAGUGCGCCUGGGUCCAGGCGGGACAAGGUCUGCAGGUUGAAGGGUGUCUGUGGCUGCCACCCAGCCAGGGCCAUGCUUCCCUGCACUGACCAUUUGACAGAGGCAAAAAGUCCAACCUCAGCCACCACCACCAAUAGCUCAUGACAGAGACAGAUAAUGAACAUGGCAUCAGACAGCCUCCAAACGUAGCGCAAAGGAGGGAGAAGGUAACAGAGUGGGCCAGAGACCUGAGUGAGUUCCAACUGUGACUUUGUGCUCACUGCUGGCCAUUGGGCGGGGGGACCCCAUCCUGCUAAGCUUUGUUUUCAUCAUCUGCAAAAUGGGGAUAAUGCUAUUCUCAGGGCUGUUGUGAAGAUUGAGGUAAUGCAAGCAGAGGCAGAUUACAAACUGUCAAGUCCUGUGCCAGCAUUUGCUGUGUGCAUCAUUAUUUUACUGCAUGCAUGGCCAGGAGGGUGUGGUAAUGUCUUGAUUGAUCACAAGCCACUGCAGAGGUCCUCAAUCAGGACAGAUGGAUGGAUGGAUACAUGGAUGCAUGGAAGAAUGCACAGACAGAAUCCCCAGUGUGACACAGGCUCACCAAUGGCUGACUGGUUGAAUAGGCUGUGGGACCUCAAGCCAGUCACCUCACCUGCCUGAGCCCGAGGUUUCUCACCUGCAAAAUGAGGGAUGAAAGCGGAUCUCAUGUGGGAAAGGAGCCACUCCAAGGAGAGACUCAAACAUGACUGCCCUUGAGCUGGGCACUGACAGGGCACAUCUGGACAGAGGAGGGGCUCAGUCUGCCUCUGCAGAGUCCCCAGCAAGAGGAAGAAGGCUCCAAUUGCAGCAGAGUGGACUUCAAUUAGUCUCAAGAAAGAACUUCCUGCAGAGGCAUUAAGCAUGAACAGCAUACAGAGAAGGGGGGCAUGAUGAGGGCAACUGUAGCAUCUCCUCUGAAAUACAGGAUGCUGUCUCAUUCAUUAUGUCAUUUUACUUUCAAACCAGCCUGGAAGGUAAUCCCAGGAAGUCCUUCCUACAAAUGCAUUUUAUAGGAGAAACAACUCGUGCUCAAAGAGAUAAAAUGAUUCUUCCAGGGUCAUCCUGCCAAUGAGGAAACUGAGGCUCCGAGAAGACACGCAGGGAGCAGCUGCAUGCUGGAACCCAGGUUAACUGGAUUACCAAGUCUUCCCACUCCCCUCAUCUCUCCAGGCAGGAAGGUCCUGGGGGGAGGAAGCAGCCUCGGAAGGAAUGAGCUCCUUGUCCUGGGGAUGUGCAAGUAUUGUCUUGGGACACUGUGGGAGGUAGGCUGCAGAGGGCAGCCAGGUGGCUCUCAAACUGAAAUCACCAGGGGAGCUUCAUCAACUACUGAUGCCUGGGUCAUGCCCCAGAGAUUGUGGGGCCUGCAGGACUUUUAAAAGUUUCCCAGAUGAUUCUAAUGUGAAACAAAGUUUGAAAGCCAUGGGCUUGGAUGCCCACUGCUGCCCUUCCCACCUCUGAAACUCUCCUGCCACACGCCUUUCUAAGGAAAGAAGGGAUUUAUUACCCUGACCCCAUUUUACAAAAUGGGCAGAAGCCAAGCAAAAUAUAAGGGUGUCCUCAAGGCCCCACAGCCAGCAACAAAUCGAGGCAGCAUGAGGGGUCCCCUGAUUUCAGACUGCCCCUGGGGUGAGCUUCUUUAAGACACUUGGGGGUUCCAGCUCCCUUGUCAGUGGGAGAGAAGUUUCUCUUUGAGCCUCCUGGGUGAGAGAGUGAGACAUUCUUCGUGGCAUUUUUUUUAAAGAGUCCACUCGUUCAAAAGCUAAACAGCUGCAGGAUUAACGCUGGAAGACCCCCUCUGCUUGCUGGU
rnacentral:lncRNA from 1 species